UACAGAGGUGGCAAGCGUUGUUCGGAAUUACUGGGCGUAAAGGGCGCGUAGGCGGCCUUGUAAGUCCCGUGUGAAAGCCCCCGGCUCAACUGGGGAAUUGCACGGGAAACUGCGGGGCUUGAGUUCGGGAGAGGGAAGCGGAAUUCCGAGUGUAGCGGUGAAAUGCGUAGAUAUCCGGAGGAACACCAGUGGCGAAGGCGGCUUCCUGGACCGACACUGACGCUGAGGCGCGAAAGCUAGGGGAGCAAACGGG
rnacentral:rRNA from 1 species